AUAAUCCGUCACCCCAGCGAAGGCUGGGGUCUUUGCGUUUCGAGGCAUGAGACCCCAGCCUUCGCUGGGGUGACGGAAGGA
rnacentral:miRNA from 1 species